rnacentral:misc_RNA from 1 species
UACGGAGGUUCCAAGCGUUGUUCGGAAUUACUGGGCGUAAAGGGAGCGCAGGCGGAUCGGUAAGUCUAAAGUGGAAUCCCGGGGCUCAACCUCGGACGUGCUUUGGAUACUGCCGAUCUUGAGUCGGUGAGAGGAAGGCGGAAUUCAGGGUGUAGCGGUGGAAUGCUUAGAUAUCCUGAGGAACACCAAUGGCGAAAGCAGCCUUCUGGCACACGACUGACGCUGAGGCUCGAAAGCGUGGGGAGCGAACGGG